rnacentral:rRNA from 1 species
UACGUAGGGGUGCAAGCGUUGUCCGGAAUUAUUGGGCGUAAAGAGCUCGUAGGCGGUUUGUGCGUCGGCUGUGAAAUCCCGAGGCCUCAACCUCGGGUCUGCAGUCGAUACGAGCAAACUAGAGUGUUGCAGGGGAGACUGGAAUUCCUGGUGUAGCGGUGAAAUGCGCAGAGUAUCAGGAGGAACACCGGUGGCGAAGGCGGGUCUCUGGGCCGAUGACUGACGCUGGAGGAGCGAAAGCGUGGGGAGCGAACAGG